rnacentral:rRNA from 1 species
GAACCUGCGGAAGGAUCAUUACCGAGUGAGGGCCCUCUGGGUCCAACCUCCCACCCGUGUUUAUCGUACCUUGUUGCUUCGGCGGGCCCGCCUCACGGCCGCCGGGGGGCAUCCGCCCCCGGGCCCGCGCCCGCCGAAGACACACAAACGAACUCUUGUCUGAAGAUUGCAGUCUGAGUACUUGACUAAAUCAGUUAAAACUUUCAACAACGGAUCUCUUGGUUCCGGCAUCGAUGAAGAACGCAGCGAAAUGCGAUAAGUAAUGUGAAUUGCAGAAUUCAGUGAAUCAUCGAGUCUUUGAACGCACAUUGCGCCCCCUGGUAUUCCGGGGGGCAUGCCUGUCCGAGCGUCAUUGCUGCCCUCAAGCACGGCUUGUGUGUUGGGCUCUCGCCCCCCGCUUCCGGGGGGCGGGCCCGAAAGGCAGCGGCGGCACCGCGUCCGGUCCUCGAGCGUAUGGGGCUUCGUCACCCGCUCUGUAGGCCCGGCCGGCGCCCGCCGGCGAACACCAUCAAUCUUAACCAGGUUGACCUCGGAUCAGGUAGUGAUACCCGCUGAACUUAAGCAUAUCAUA